ACAGCACAAUUAAGCAUAGGUGCAGGUUUGUGUAUAUACCGAUCCAAUAAAUCGUCAACAAAUUUAAUGGAAAUCUUAACUUAGCCUGCAGGAAGAGAUCACAGCACAGCAACCACUGCGAACAGCAGAAGGGCUUGCAGUAGCAGCAGAGCGUGAACACUUUUCAUCAAACAUUUGGUUUACAGGGGCCCUAACAGCAAAUGAAUGAAAGCAGCAACACUGACACAGUUCAUCAAACAGGCUGUGGCCUGUGGGUAACCGGGAAGUCAAUUAGAAUCCUUUGAGUGAAGCACGAGGUCGCCGACGGCGACGAGGCCGUAGGCAUCGCUGCCGGCGCAGGGCAGCACGGAGGGCUGACACCGGAAGGUGAUUGCGUCGCGCCCGCCAGCCGUCGGGCCAGCAGAUCCUGCGGCCAUGGAGCGAGAUCCCCAACACUGGCGACGGCGUGCGGAUCUCUGGCUCCCCUGCGCUGCCUCUCGCCUCCGACUCACGCCUCGCUACCUCCCCAGUGCGACGCCUCUCGCCUCCGCGCGAACCGUGUGCCGGCGGACGGGAUCCACCGCUCGCAGUAAUAGCUCGCCGCAGCACCUUUCGGCACCUCGUGCCGCUCCGAUUAGCGAGGAUCCGGCCCUUGGCACGAGGCGAACAGCCGGUGUAGAGUGUAGCGGA
rnacentral:lncRNA from 1 species